AUUGAACGCUGGCGGCAGGCCUAACACAUGCAAGUCGAACGGUAGCACAGAGAGCUUGCUCUCGGGUGACGAGUGGCGGACGGGUGAGUAAUGUCUGGGAAACUGCCCGAUGGAGGGGGAUAACUACUGGAAACGGUAGCUAAUACCGCAUAACGUCGCAAGACCAAAGUGGGGGACCUUCGGUCCUCACACCAGCGGAUGUGCCCAGAUGGGAUUAGCUAGUAGGUGGGGUAAUGGCUCACCUAGGCGACGAUCCCUAGCUGGUCUGAGAGGAUGACCAGCCACACUGGAACUGAGACACGGUCCAGACUCCUACGGGAGGCAGCAGUGGGGAAUAUUGCACAAUGGGCGCAAGCCUGAUGCAGCCAUGCCGCGUGUAUGAAGAAGGCCUUCGGGUUGUAAAGUACUUUCAGCGGGGAGGAAGGCGGUGAAGUUAAUAGCUUCACCGAUUGACGUUACCCGCAGAAGAAGCACCGGCUAACUCCGUGCCAGCCGCCGCAGUAA
rnacentral:rRNA from 1 species